GUGGGGAUUAGUGGCGAACGGGUGAGUAACACGUGGGCAAUCUGCCCUGCACUCUGGGACAAGCCCUGGAAACGGGGUCUAAUACCGGAUACGAGUUCCACGGGCAUCCGUGGGACUGGAAAGCUCCGGCGGUGCAGGAUGAGCCCGCGGCCUAUCAGCUUGUUGGUGAGGUAAUGGCUCACCAAGGCGACGACGGGUAGCCGGCCUGAGAGGGCGACCGGCCACACUGGGACUGAGACACGGCCCAGACUCCUACGGGAGGCAGCAGUGGGGAAUAUUGCACAAUGGGCGAAAGCCUGAUGCAGCGACGCCGCGUGAGGGAUGACGGCCUUCGGGUUGUAAACCUCUUUCAGCAGGGAAGAAGCGAAAGUGACGGUACCUGCAGAAGAAGCGCCGGCUAACUACGUGCCAGCAGCCGCGGUAAUACGUAGGGCGCAAGCGUUGUCCGGAAUUAUUGGGCGUAAAGAGCUCGUAGGCGGCUUGUCGCGUCGGUUGUGAAAGCCCGGGGCUUAACCCCGGGUCUGCAGUCGAUACGGGCAGGCUAGAGUUCGGUAGGGGAGAUCGGAAUUCCUGGUGUAGCGGUGAAAUGCGCAGAUAUCAGGAGGUA
rnacentral:rRNA from 1 species